CCAACUAACCCUAACACAACCCGCACCACUCGUCCUCUCGCUCCCCUCUCUCCCCUACGCACCCACAGCCGCCGCCCUCUCCCUCCCUCAGAUCUCGAUCUCGAUCUCGCUCCCUUCCACGUCUCCAGGGGCGGCGGCGAUGACUUCCCGUCCUCCCCCGACCCCUAUGCCUUCUGCCACGACUCCGCCGCCACCGCUUUCGCUCACUUAGGCUGCCGCCCCUCGUCCCGAUCCCCUUCCUCCAACCCACCCCACGGCCGCCGGCCAACUCCGGCGAUCCCCGACGCCCAGGAAUCCCAUCUCCACCGGGUCCUCGCCGUGUCAUGCGCGACGACCCACUCACCCGCGGCCAUCCAAUCCAACCGUAGCAGCCGGGAGGGCGGCGGCGGCGGCGGCGGUCUGCACUGACGCAGGAGCCUCCUGGCUGUGGCAUUGUGCCGGCCCCAAACCCCAGGGCUCGGCACGGCUGCGGCCGUGGUCGCUUCCUCCUCCUCCGGCCCAUCUCCGGUCCGGUCCAAUCCAAUCCAAUCCAAGGUACGUGGUCUCGCCGGCGCAUUCCUUCUUAUUUCCCUCAAUCGAUCGCUGUUUCACAGCUGUGCGCACCUCCUCUGCUUCUCACUUGUGCUUCUUCUUGUGUUGGAUUGGAUUGGGUUGGGUUUGAUUCGGCAUGCAGGCCAUGGAGCGAGCCAAGGCGCAGCUGCGUCCGUCUGCGUGCUUCUUCUCAUCCUGGUGCGUACCAUGGUGAGAAGACAAGGCAAAGGCAGGUGCUCCCGAUGGAUGGACGCCGGCGAUUGAGGCUGCUCACUUAGGCUGCGUUUGAUUCGAGUCCAGAUAACUAGGUUUGCUUUCAGUCCAUUCAGCUUGAUUAUUGCUAGUGAAAUUCCUCCGCUUAUGCCGCGCCACUACUUGUGAUGUUAUAGUGUAUGCGCCUACUUGUGCGGACUGAUGGCGAAUGCAAGUGCGUGCACAAUGAUGAUCCUCUGGUCUGGUCUUCUUGUGAUUUUAUUACUACUGGUUACUGAAUGGAUGAUGUGCAUCUUUCUUCAGUUUGAUUGAAAAUUGUCCCCCUUUUUGUGCAUGCAUACAUCUGCCCACUAAUUAAGCCACCAGAAUCUUUUAGUUAGGGCUUAAUAAUAAUAUAUGUCAAUGGUGUGACUCUGUGUUUACAUUGUCUCCUAUAGUAGAAUUAUUAUGGAUGGUUCUCUAAUCUACUAGUGUUGUAGCCUGUAGAGGCGAGUCUGUAUUUUGUUCUACACAUGAUGAUGCAAUUAUGGACUGCUGUUUGUUUCCUAGCUAUGUACUGCCAUCAUAUAAAUUCCUGCCAUGUUCUAGAUUAGCCAACCAUUGGUGGCUUGUUUCAGUUUAAUUUAAAUGACCAUGGGUGCGUGCAAAGGGUGAACACACAACACACUAGUUAGUAAGUGCACAACUCUGUCUGUAUACUUACCAAUUGAUGUGGUAAAUAUGCACCUACAAGGAUUGCUACUGGUAACUGAAUGAUAUGCAUCUUCGACCAGACCACCUACAAUAAGCUACUCACUGAGGUGUCCAAGUACAAGCAGACCACGCCCUAGGUGAUCUGGUCUUCUUGCUUGCUUUUUACCUGUGAGAAUUGAGAUCUCGGGAUGGUGGGUUAUGUGGAUCGGUGGCCCCUGGUUAAGUCUUUUGCUGUGAUGCUCUGUUUUGGGGUCAGUCAGUAGUACUCUGUGAUGCUCUGGUUCUCCUAGCAUGGAGCAUAUAUGAUUUUGCUAUGAUUUGGAUGCCAGUUUCUGCUGCUGCAUCAGUUUUUAUUACAUCAGUAGCUAGUGGUGAACGGUAACAACUCCACUUGUUAAUGUUUUUAUUACAUCAGUAGCUAGCGGUGAACAAUAAUAACUUAUGGUUUAUGUUGUGGCUUGGUGCAAUGUAAUCUUGUGGUACUUCCAUGAUUCUGCCGGCUGAUUUUAUAUCUUAUUGUAUUCUUUAUAUUAUAGCUGUCUCCCAUGAUUCUGCUCGUAUCCAACCAUUAUGUUUGCUUUGUUUCAGUUUAAUUUUCCGUGACUUUGUUGUUUAAUGUAUCUACCUGCAGAUAGACUGGGAUGAUUCUGCACCAAGUCGGUCUUGUUGGGCACGAUCCUGUUAUGGAGAAGCUUAAGAUUUCUGACACCAUUGCUCCUAUGUUCUCUGGAGAUGUUGGCAUGGCUGACCUGUUGGUGGGACCAGAUUGUAUCUGCUUCUGCCCGUGCAGGAGCUUCUUCCCCUGCGCCUCUGUUGUCCGCAUGUCUAGUUGAUUGAUUCUGCUCACUUCCUGCUGAAUCGUUCAGACUUUGUAGCGCUCAUGAGCCUUUUAUGUUGCGCCUAUGCUUGAUCUAUGAAGUGAUACAUCUGAAAUUUCCUACAUAUCUUAGUUGUUGGGCCUAGUUGUUGCUGGUCCGUUCUUGUGCAUUGGUCCUGCUCUGAGAGUCUAUUUGUUGCUUGCAAUACUACUAUUGAUUUAACUAGAUUUUGUAGCUUGUUGUCAAAACUUCAAACGACCUGAACUUGCGCAACGGUUCUAGUCCGAAAAUCAUCUGUAUUCACAAUGAUAUGUUAGCUUGUAGUCAAACUUGAUCAUGAGUCUGUUAGCAUGUAGUCAAACUUGAAUAUGAAUUUGUAUAGCUCUUUAUUGUUCUGAAUAGACUGUAUAGCUCUUUAUUGUUCUCCACUUAUUUGUACAGCCAAUGAUGCUUACUUAACUGUAUAGCUCUUUAUGUUUCUUUUCCAGGUAUUCUAUUUGUGCUCCACCCGAAAUCUAUUUUGCAUUGCUAAGUUCUUGAAACGAAGCGCUCACUGCUCGACCAUUUAUUUACUGAACUGGGAGCAACAGAGGCAAGAUAUUUGAAACAAGCUAAAGUCCUUUUGAUUCUUGAUUUCUAGCAUACACAUGCAACCUGAUUGGUGUAGAUAUGAUGUAGGUUCAGUGCUUACUAUUUUUUGAUUUGAUGCAUGUUACCUUCGUUUCUGUCUAUGCCUUCUUUAGUGUUUUGCCAGCUAACUAGUCUAUUGGUCGUUUUGAAAUAUGAAGAUGCUGCAUGUAAGCACUAUUGCUGGCAAUUUGGCACAUCAUAUUAGUCUUAUCCCAUGUUUUGUCACUAGCAUACACUACAAUCCCUUGUCCUGUCACUAGCAUACACUACAGUUUUAUUAAAAGGGGGCAUAUCAUUUGCUCUAUAUAACAGUGCUGAUUUUGCGCUGAUAUGAACUUACAACAGUAUUACAUUGUAGUGUUUUCUGCAUGUUGUUGUAUCACUAGUUUCAUGUUGCCUUCUCAUUUGAACAUAUUACUUGUUUUUGUUUUUAUCCUUGAUUAGUAUCAAUUGUUGUAUUGUAGACUUAAAAUUGUGGUGGUUCCUCCUUUACAGAAGCUCAAGUGUGAAGUCGUGAAGUGUGAAGCAAGUGUGAAGCCGUGAACUGUGAAGCCAAGUGUGAAGCCGUGAAGUCCAACUCAUUGUAGCAUAUCUGUGUUGUAAAGAUUGUAAUACAUUUAUUUAGUGGUAUAUUUGAUGAAUUUUAUGCGUUCUUUGUUCUAUUGGAAAUAUUGAUUAUGUAUGUGAUUUGAAAACUUGUGGAAUGGAAACUUGUCCAGUGAGGCCACUUAUGAAAAUAAUUUGUCAAAUUUGUA
rnacentral:lncRNA from 1 species